GAUGAACGCUGGCGGCGUGCCUAAUACAUGCAAGUCGAGCGAACGGACGAGAAGCUUGCUUCUCUGAUGUUAGCGGCGGACGGGUGAGUAACACGUGGAUAACCUACCUAUAAGACUGGGAUAACUUCGGGAAACCGGAGCUAAUACCGGAUAAUAUUUUGAACCGCAUGGUUCAAAAGUGAAAGACGGUCUUGCUGUCACUUAUAGCUGGAUCCGCGCUGCAUUAGCUAGUUGGUAAGGUAACGGCUUACCAAGGCAACGAUGCAUAGCCGACCUGAGAGAGUGAUCGGCCACACUGGAACUGAGACACGGUCCAGACUCCUACGGGAGGCAGCAGUAGGGAAUCUUCCGCAAUGGGCGAAAGCCUGACGGAGCAACGCCGCGUGAGUGAUGAAGGUCUUCGGAUCGUAAAACUCUGUUAUUAGGGAAGAACAUAUGUGUAAGUAACUGUGCACAUCUUGACGGUACCUAAUCAGAAAGCCACGGCUAACUACGUG
rnacentral:rRNA from 1 species